rnacentral:rRNA from 1 species
AUUGAACGCUGGCGGCAUGCCUUACACAUGCAAGUCGAACGAGUGGCGAACGGGUGAGUAAUACAUCGGAACGUGCCCUGUAGUGGGGGAUAACUAGUCGAAAGACUAGCUAAUAACGCAUACUAUAGGAGCGGCCGAUGUCUGAUUAGCUAGGUGGUGGGGUAAAGGCCUACCAAGGCGACGAUCAGUAGCUGGUCUGAGAGGACGAUCAGCCACACGGGGACGUAUACAGGGCCAAGACUCCUGCGUGAGGCAGAAGUGGGGAAUGUUGGACAAUGGGGGCAAACCUGAUCCAGCAAUGCCGCGUGUGAGAAGAAGCCCUUCGGGUUGUAAAGCACUUUUGUCCGGGAAGCGGUACCGGAAGAAUAAGGACCGGCUAACUACGUGCCAGCCGCCGCGGUAAUAC